CCCCGAGGGUAUCCGUGCCGGGUGGAUGAGUNCUAAGAAGGGCCAUGCCUGGUCGUGCCCGAGGGGGUGUGCACUUUGCGUGGGCGGGUCAACGUCAGUUAGAGCCACCGGAAAAUCCUGGGAGGAAUGUUGGCGAAGGCAACGGACCCACUUAUAGCCUCCCUUGAAAACGGUGACCCUGACUGAGGAGUCGCAGCCUCAUCAUAUGGCGCGCGCGUCUCCCUUCCCCCUGUGGGUAAGGCAGCUUGCUGACUUGCCUCGGUAAGGGAGGGGACUGCGCGUGUGCCUGGUGGGGCCACGGACGUUGGCGAAAUGGUUCUCAACGACCCGUCUUGAAACACGGACCAAGGAGUCUAACAUGUGUGCGAGUAUUUGGGUGCAAAACCCGAAUGCGCAAUGAAAGUGACCGCAGGGGAGAAGGGUGACCCUCUCGGGGGUCGCCCCGCAUCCUCGACCGAUCCGAUUGCCCUCCGUGGCGACGGGUUUGAGUUUGAGCAUAUCUGUUAGGACCCGAAAGAUGGUGAACUAUGCCUGAGUAGGAUGAAGCCAGAGGAAACUCUGGUGGAGGUCCGUAGCGAUUCUGACGUGCAAUCGAUCGUCGAACUUGGGUAUAGGGGCGAAAGACUAAUCGAACCAUCUAGUAGCUGGUUCCCGCCGAAGUUUCCCUC
rnacentral:rRNA from 1 species